CCUACGGGAGGCAGCAGUGGGGAAUAUUGGGCAAUGGAGGAAACUCUGACCCAGCGACGCCGCGUGCGGGAUGAAGGCCUUCGGGUUGUAAACCGCUUUCAGUAGGGAAGAAGCGUAAGUGACGGUACCUACAAAAGAAGCACCGGCUAACUAUGUGCCAGCAGCCGCGGUAAUACAUAGGGUGCAAGCGUUGUCCGGAAUUAUUGGGCGUAAAGAGCUCG
rnacentral:rRNA from 1 species